UCUAUGUCCAGCUAACCAACGAGAUGAGGAUGGUCAAUGUCAUUUUCUAAGCUGCGAACGGGCAGAAAGCUAACCAACGAGAUGAGGAUGGUCAUUGUCAUUUUCUAAGCUGCGAACGGGCAGAAAGCUAACCAACGAGAUGAGGAUGGUCAUUGUCAUUUUCUAAGCUGCGAACGGGCAGAAAGCUACACAACGAGAUGAGGAUGGUCAUUGUCAUUUUCUGAGCUGCGAACGGGCAGAAAGCUAACCAACGAGAUGAGGAUGGUCAUUGUCAUUUUCUAAGCUGCGAACGGGCAGAAAGCUGCACAACGAGAUGAGGAUGGUCAAUGUCAUUUUCUGAGCUGCGAACGGGCAGAAAGCUAACCAACGAGAUGAGGAUGGUCAUUGUCAUUUUCUAAGCUGCGAACGGGCAGAAAGCUAACCAACGAGAUGAGGAUGGUCAUUGUCAUUUUCUAAGCUGCGAACGGGCAGAAAGCUACACAACAAGAUGAGGAUGGUCAUUGUCAUUUUCUGAGCUGCGAACGGGCAGAAAG